GCCCGAGUGGCGGAAUGGUAGACGCAGGGGAUUCAAAAUCCUCCGGUAGCAAUACUGUGCGAGUUCGAGUCUCGCCUCGGGCACCA
rnacentral:tRNA from 1 species